rnacentral:rRNA from 1 species
GACGAACGCUGGCGGCGUGCUUAACACAUGCAAGUCGAACGGAAAGGCCCUGCUUUUGUGGGGUGCUCGAGUGGCGAACGGGUGAGUAACACGUGAGUAACCUGCCCUUGACUUUGGGAUAACUUCAGGAAACUGGUGCUAAUACCGGAUAGGAGCUCCUGCUGCAUGGUGGGGGUUGGAAAGCUUCGGCGGUUGGGGAUGGACUCGCGGCUUAUCAGCUUGUUGGUGGGGUAGUGGCUUACCAAGGCUUUGACGGGUAGCCGGCCUGAGAGGGUGAUCGGCCACAUUGGGACUGAGAUACGGCCCAGACUCCUACGGGGGGCAGCAGUGGGGAAUAUUGCACAAUGGGCGGAAGCCUGAUGCAGCAACGCCGCGUGCGGGAUGACGGCCUUCGGGUUGUAAACCGCUUUCGCCUGUGACGAAGCGUGAGUGACGGUAAUGGGUAAAGAAGCACCGGCUAACUACGUG